GGUCAGUCCCGCCGGAGGGCUGGUCGUUGGACAGAAGAGAACUGCUUUUAAUGCCUUCCGCGCUGUUACCAUGGAGACAGCACAGCCGGUGUGAGGCCCAGAGUCCAGGCAACCCCUUAGCGCCUGUUUCGGAGUCUGGCUGUUGAGAAUAGUUUCCUGCGGCUCAGCUGGUGAAGCAUCUGCCUGCAAUGAAGGAGACCCAGGUUCUAUCUCUGGUUCGAGAAGAUCCCCUGCAGAAGGGGGACUUUAUUCAGAAAGCAGCUGACAGAGAAGAUGGCAGGAGAGUGGCGUGUCCAGAAGAGGGCUGCACCUUUAGCUGGGUACCACUUGGAGAGAAGACGUGGAGUGGAUCCAGAGCCACAGCCGCCAUGUAAUGUGACGAGAGACAAACCUUUGGGCAGUGAGUGCCUGAGACUCUGUGGUCGCUCAUCCUACGGCGUAACUAGCACAAGCUGAUGACUGCCGAGGGGGUCGCAGGUUAGUCAGGGAGUCAGCUCAUUACCAGCCGAAACAUGGGGUGAUGGAUGCUUUGCUAGAGUUAUACACAGAAGAGUCAGACAUAGGCCAAAAGAGGGAAAAAGAACUGUGGGGAAGAGGUAUCAGGAAAGACUUUCUAAAAGACACAGUAACUCUGAAGGGUUUUAAAGGUUGAAGAGAAGUUGAUCAUCUUAGGGGCUUGGGAGGUUUGUUUUUUGAGGCAUUCUAAUCAGAAAGACCAUCACGCACAGACACAAAAUAUCACGGUAUGUUUGAGAAUUGCCUGUAAUGUCCACAACUGGGGGUGGGGCCAGGAUCAGAUCCCUUCAUCUUUGAAGCCUAUUGGGUAUAUGCAGACUCUCAGAUAAAAAAUGUAUCAUUUAUUUUGUUUUAUUUUUAUUUAAUUUUGCAUCAUUUAUUUUGAUCAGAACUUUGGCUGUAAGUUUUCAUCUGGUCUCACACCGUGGGAAUGUAAGCUGGACUGUGUGUGAGCCAGAGAGGCCCUUUUUCAAAUGUUUAAUUUUUAUGUUAAUCACAUAAUGCAUAUACAUAGUUUGCCUUGCUUCUCUCCUUCACACUCCCAUUCUCCAGAGCAGUCACUCUCAGUUUUUAUAGUUCAUUUCACUUUUUUUAUGCAUGGCUGUGUUUUAAAAUAAUAUCCUUUGUUCCUAUUUCUUGAUUUCCUAAUUUUAGAACUUGUAUAUUGACUUUCUACCAUGGUAGAUGAGAACUUAGUUCUCCCACACAAUUCUCCCUCAAUUUCAUUCCUACACUGCUCCUUCUAUCUUUCCAACAUAAACUUAUUUUUUGUUAAAUCGAUAUUUGUGUUUAUAUAUUAAUGAAUGUGCAAAUAAUAUUUCUUCCCGAAUCAAGUAGUGUCCUGUGACCAUGUGUCCUCUUUUGUACAGUUCUUUGUUUCUUCCUAGAGUUAAUAAUUGCCUCCUUUUAUAUGGAUCUGAUGUCCAAAGGUACUUAUAAUAAAUUUUUUUCAGAUGGUUUAACAAUUCUGCUAAUAUCUGUCAAUUUUUCCUACAGUUCCACUUUGUCCUACAGCUAUUCCUCCAAGAACUUUCUGUUUUUCUGCUCCAAUCUGGAUUGUCUGCUUUUGGAAUUGAAACAGUGGAUAGCUGUCAUCUUGAGACUUUCCUUUAUCAUCAUUAUGAAUAUUUCCUUUACUGCCUUCCCACACUGGAUCCUCUAUUUACUGAAUCCCUCACCUCUUUAGUGCACCAUCACUGAACCUCACUAAACUCCAACUUCCAAUAACUUCUUAAGAAUUCGUGCUUGGGAGGUAAUUUUCUGGAGUCAUUGGCUACCUGAAAAUAUUCUAUACUAUUCUGGCAUGUGACUGAUAAUUUAUUUGAGAUAGAAUUCUAGAUUAAAACAUAUUUUAUUUCAAAAUUUAGAAGGUAUUUUUAACAUCUGAUGUUUUUGAAGAAGUUUGAUGUUUUCUUUUUCUUGUGUCUUUUACUUGUUUUUCCUCUUUAGAAGAUUUUAGAAACUUUCAUUUAUUCCUCGUGAUUUAAAAUGUCAUAAUGAUAAUGGUGGCAGGCACAGACUGGUAUAUAUCUUUUUUUCAUUUUUUUGUGCAUGGCUAAUCAGGAGACUGAUAUCCUUUGUUUUUCUCCUAGUAUUCUCUUUUUUCUUUUGCUUUUUCACUCUUUGGAAGAUUUCUUCAGUUUUUGUCUUCUGAAUCAUUUGAGUUUUUGAAAAAAAAAUUUUAAUUAUAUUUUUAAUUUAAAAGAGGUUUUUCUCAUUUGUUUUUUUCCUUUUUCAUUGUAGCCUCUUCUUGUUUUGUGAAUACACUGUUUCCUUUUAUCUUUGUGGACUGGUGUUAUUGCUUUUUCUG